rnacentral:sRNA from 1 species
AGGGAUGCCCAAGUUUCUGAGAAUUUCACAUCUACAGAAGAAGCAAAAAAAAAAAAAAAAAAAAAAAAAAAAAAAAAAAAAACCAAUGCACAAUCUGCGGUCACUUUUUGUUGUUGCUGGGUUCCUGACCCUGUGAUUGUAUUGUGUGUCCACCUAACAAAGUGCAAUACCAAAAAAAGAGAGAAAAAAGAAAAAGAACGAAAAUGGCACUUCAAAAACAGCAAAUACACCUACGGAAAACGCGAGGACGAAAGCUCAUGGUCUCGUUAUGCAAAUAACAACAGAAAUGGAAAGUGAUAAACGAAGUUAAACGGCUGCAGGAAAAGCAAAAUGUGUCAAAAAUCAAAGCCUAUCCCUUCCCAGUCUAAUAAGCUAGAAAUGAAAUUGAAAUAAUAUAUUUCCCAGACAGGUCAAGAACAUGAUAGGGGAAGGAGAAUCUUCAUGUUUGGAAGAAAUCAAUUCACAAAAGUUUGACCUUUCCUCUCCUAAAAUCUGGACUGAACGUAAGAAUGUAAGGAGACGAUAUAAAAAGCAAAGAGAAAGUGACGAGAUUAAAAUAAAAGAAUAUACAGCAUGGUGUAGCACAAAAGAAUAUGAAACUCGAAAUAUUUUCAAAAAAAAAGGUAUUUGAACAACAUAAAUGUCAAAUCAAAAUAUGCCCUUGAACGAGGCUUCCGGAAGCGGAAAAUGAUACAACGAAACCAAUGCAAUAUGGUGGUAUACGGGGAAUUUUUAUAUCGAGAGCACAAGAUGAGCACCUUGCCCAACGCCAACGCCAUACGCCUUAAAGCGCUCCGCAACUUCAAGUCCAAGCUCUUUCAUGCGUUCAGCACCUUUACCGGGUAAUGGCUUACGCUCAAGAUUCUCCUUUGCAGCUUUCCUACAGUGCUGGCGCCAGAAUUUUUCUUUCCGUUUCUGACGCUUCUUUUCGAGACCCACAACAAUAUCGAUAGGUCCGCGGGUGUGUAAGUCGUGGUUGCUGGAUUCGCUGGCGCUGGCCAUAUUAGGCAUUGCCUUUGUCAAUCGACGGCGUUCAAGCCGAGCGAAGAAAGGGUUUGGCGUGCGGGGGAGGGACCUCGUACGUGGCCGAUGGGGCCUCUGCGUGAGAUCGGUGAUGUUCAUACCGUCAGGGUGGAGCGCUGCAGCAGCGAGAUAAGGACGGCGUGGUGAGGGAGGAGAUCUCGAUUUCAUGACGGGUGGAGGCGAUCGUAGACGUCGGGGAGAAUUCCCAUAGGCACGCCGCGGAGGGGGUGACUGCAGACGUUUUGGAGAGCUUGAUGGAGUGACUUUACCGCUGCUGGCUUUCGGUCUUCCGCGAAGGCCCUCUAGAUCAUGUGCAUGAACCUUUUCUGUGAUGUCAUCAUGGUUGUCAUGAUUUUCAUCAUCGUCUCCAUCUUCGUCCUCGGGAUCUGUGGUGGGAAAACUCGGAUCAAUGUCCUGGGGGAUAAGGAUAUGUUUCGCCCGACGACGUUGCUCCAUGCAAGAAAUAUACGCGGCUUCCAAAGGGCGGUCUUCGUCGAGCGUCCCACAUACGAAAUCGGUGCUAUCAGGAAGAUGUGGUGUGGAAGGUCCAUACUUUUGGGGCUUGCUAGGCCGACGGUGCCUUUGGCACCGCCCGGAUUGCAGAGGUGGUGUCACUUCUUUGCGGCCGUUCUUCCGUUCGUUUGAAGAUUC